rnacentral:misc_RNA from 1 species
GAAAUGCGAUAAGUAAUGUGAAUUGCAGAAUUCAGUGAAUCAUCGAAUCUUUGAACGCACAUUGCGCCCGCCAGUAUUCUGGCGGGCAUGCCUGUCCGAGCGUCAUUUCAACCAUCAAGCCCCCGGGCUUGUGUUGGGGACCUGCGGGUGCCCGCAGGCCCUGAAAACCAGUGGCGGGCUCGCUGUCACACCGAGCGUAGUAGCAAUCACCUCGCUCAGGGCGUGCUGCGGGUUCCGGCCGUUAAACAGCCUUACAAAACCCAAGGUUGACCUCGGAUCAGGUAGGAAGACCCGCUGAACUUAAGC